rnacentral:rRNA from 1 species
AGUGAACGCUGGCGGUAGGCCUAACACAUGCAAGUCGAACGGCAGCACAGUAAGAGCUUGCUCUUACGGGUGGCGAGUGGCGGACGGGUGAGGAAUACAUCGGAAUCUACUUUUUCGUGGGGGAUAACGUAGGGAAACUUACGCUAACACCGCAUACGACCUACGGGUGAAAGCAGGGGAUCUUCGGACCUCGCGCGAUUGAAUGAGCCGAUGUCGGAUUAGCUAGUUGGCGGGGUAAAGGCCCACCAAGGCGACGAUCCGUAGCUGGUCUGAGAGGAUGAUCAGCCACACUGGAACUGAGACACGGUCCAGACUCCUACGGGAGGCAGCAGUGGGGAAUAUUGGACAAUGGGCGCAAGCCUGAUCCAGCCAUACCGCGUGGGUGAAGAAGGCCUUCGGGUUGUAAAGCCCUUUUGUUUGGAAAGAAAAGCAGCAGGUUAAUACCCCGCUGUUCUGACGGUACCCAAAGAAUAAGCACCGGCUAACUUCGUG